UCUCAAUGGAGAUGUACACCAGGUCCGCUUUCUCCCAGCUCUCAGUUACUGUGACCGUUGACAUCUUCGCCAUCCCUAGAAGUAGUUCCUGUUCCAUUGGGUCUUCUACAAGAGUCUCAUGAUGUCCUCAAAUGCUGAGCUCAGAUUCCAUUAUGAAAAAGAGCACUCUACACGUACGUUCCAAUAAACAUCAUCUUUCACUGAAGAAUAAAGUCAUACAGGUUUGGAACGACAUGAGGGAAUCGGUCCACAGCGAUGGCCAGCAGGGAGUGAACGGAGGCCUGGGUCAACACAAUGACCACACAGCUAAUGAAGAGGCAGCAGUGGAAACUAGUCUUCAAACGUCC